rnacentral:lncRNA from 1 species
GAUGGAGGGGCAGAGCCAGGAGUACAAGAUGCUGCUGGGCAUCAAGACCCGCCUGGAGCAGGAGAUUGCUCAGUACCGGGCACUGCUCAAUGAAGGACAGCAAGACCUUGCGAUGCCCCAAGGAGGAGGACGAACCUCCCACUCCUAUUCUUCCACUUCCUAUUCUCACGGACAAUCUGGCGGAGACAAGUCAGGGCAGACAAGAGUGUGCUGAGGUACCACCGAUGCUCUGGUCUUCUCUGAUCCACCUACAGCCCCAGGUGCAGGGAUGACCAGCAGCUCACGCUGUGUGCCUGGUGCACAGCUCCAUCUGCGCGUGUCGUCACGCAGGGACGAUGAAUCCCUGCCAGGACUCCCAACGUUUUCUGCUUCCUCCUUUGCAUUGUUCUUCACAGUGCAAUCACUGCAGUGCCACCAGUGCUCUGCUUUCUGCUGGCCAUUGUGCCUCUAAUAAAACUUCACUUUUCUGCA